AGCAGCCGCGGUAAUUCCAGCUCCAAUAGCGUAUAUUAAAGUUGUUGCAGUUAAAAAGCUCGUAGUUGAAUUUCGGGGUUAGUAGGUUGGUCAUGCCUCUGGUAUGUACUGGUCUCACUGAUUCCUCCUUCCUGAUGAAUCUUAAUGCCAUUAAUUUGGUGUUUUGGGGAAUUUGGACUGUUACUUUGAAAAAAUUAGAGUGUUUAAAGCAAGCUAACGCUUGAAUACAUUAGCAUGGAAUAAUGAAAUAGGACGUUCGAUCCUAUUUUGUUGGUUUCUAGGGUUGACGUAAUGAUUAAUAGGGAUAGUUGGGGGCAUUAGUAUUCAAUUGUCAGAGGUGAAAUUCUUGGAUUUAUUGAAGACUAACUACUGCGAAAGCAUUUGCCAAGGAUGUUUUCAUUAAUCAAGAACGAAAGUUAGGGGAUCGAAGACGAUCAGAUACCGUCGUAGUCUUAACCAUAAACUAUGCCGACUAGGGAUCGGAUGAUGUUAUUUUUAAUGACUCAUUCGGCGCCUUACG
rnacentral:rRNA from 1 species